rnacentral:miRNA from 1 species
AGAAGAAACACGCAUUCGAAAC